CCUACGGGAGGCAGCAGUGAGGAAUAUUGGUCAAUGGCCGGAAGGCUGAACCAGCCAUGCCGCGUGAAGGUCAGUGCCCUAUGGGCGGUAAACUUCUUUUGUCCGGGAGCAAUAAUGUUCACGUGUGGCCAGACGAGAGUACCGUACGAAUAAGCAUCGGCUUACUCCGUGCCAGCAGCCGCGGUACUACGGGGGAGGCAAGCGUUAUCCGGAUUUAGUGGGUUUAAACGGUGCGUAAGCUGUGAGGUCAGUCCGCGGGGGAAUGCCCCCGCUCCACGGGGUGAAGUGCCAUUGAUACUGGCAUGCUGGAGUGCGGAUGAGGUGGGGAGAAUGUGUGGUGUAGCGGUGAAAUGCAUAGAUAUCA
rnacentral:rRNA from 1 species